AGAGAGAGAGAGAGCACAACAUGCAAGAAAAAGUGGGGAGAUAAUGAUUGAAUGACACGAUGAAAUUUAACACAGAAAAUAAAAAAAUUUAACAUAAAAAAGCAACAACAUAACUAAAGAAUGUAAAAGAACAGUAAGAAUUAAAAAAUGGUAACUAUACAAUAAAAAAGAUCAUCCAUAUAAAAACAAUGUGCUUAAUAGCCAAAGUCUAAAGCCAAUGAGACCUUGGUCUAAAACUAGACUGGGUUGAGGCCUUAGGACGAAGAGGUCCAAAGUUCAACUCUCACCAUUGUUGGUUUGGACUCUUAUAUUUCAUUGUUUACUUUGUAUCAGCAAAUGUACUUUGGCUUUGGCCAGCUUCAAUUGUAAUUAACAUAAUUAAGAUGCAUCUUAUAAUCAUAUCUCUGGUUAAAAAAAAAAGUGAAUAAGAAGACCAUAAGAUGCAUAGAAAUAAAAUAAGAAACACUAAUUGGAGUACAGGAAUAUCCAGUUGAAAUGAUUAAUUUCUUUAUGCAUAGCAUCUCCGUAUCCAAGCUGGUCAUUCAAAUGGAAACUAUUGCAAUCACAAUAAGACAAGAAUUGGAAAGAAUUAAUAAUCAUACAAAUCAUGAACCAUAAU
rnacentral:misc_RNA from 1 species